GCCAGACUCCUACGGGAGGCAGCAGUGGGGCCUCUUGCACAAUGGGCGCCCGCCUGAUGCAGCCCUGCCGCGUGUCUGCAGAAGGCCUUCGGGUUGUAAAGUACUUUCAGCGGGGAGGAAGGUGUUGAGGUUCAUAACCUCAGCAAUUGACGUUACCCGCAGAAGAAGCACCGGCUAACUCCGUGCCAGCAGCCGCGGUAAUACGGAGGGUGCAAGCGUUAAUCGGAAUUACUGGGCGUAAAGCGCACGCAGGCGGUCUGGCAAGUCGGAUGUGAAAUCCCCGGGCUCAACCUGGGAACUGCAUUCGAAACUGGCAGGCUGGAGUCUUGUAGAGGGGGGUAGAAUUCCAGGUGUAGCGGUGAAAUUCGUAGAGAUCUGGAGGAAUACCGGUGGCGAAGGCGGCCCCCUGGACAAAGACUGACGCUCAGGUGCGACAGCGUGGGGAGCAAACAGGAUUAGAUACCCGCGUA
rnacentral:rRNA from 1 species